GACCCGCCCGCCCCUGCCUCCUUCCCUUCCGCAGCUGAGGCGGCGGGAUUCCUGUUAGGGCGGACCAAGUUGAGGUCCUAGGCGGCAGUCGGCUGGCGAAGAAGAAGCGCCGGUAGCGGGGCGGCAGCGGGGGUCAGUCAGGCUGUAACGGCGGUGCCAGGGCCCCGCUGAGCCCGCCCGCUCCUGGCACCGGGAGCCUGCGGUGCGAGGUGGCCCGAGCCGAGAGGCAGCAAGUGAAGCUGUGAGGAGUUGGAGGCUUCCAGGGCAAAGCUUCAGACACCUACGUGAUCUCGAGCUCCAGCCGCCCUUCUUAGCCCACCACCAAGCCGACCCUGACUUCCUGGGCAGCAUGCUCCGCCGCCUCAUGAUCGCCCAAGUGAGAGAAGUCCAAAGAGUUACCACCCUGUCUUUGUAGUCAAAUUCUGAAGUCCAUCAACAUGGCACCCUCAGGGCUACUCAUGGUUUCAGGUGAGGAGAAAAGUCCUGUGAUGUAAAAACAGGGGUGGGUGGGCAGAUGCAGGCUUAUGGCCCUCCAAGUUCAAGCUUGGAGCAAUGCUCAGAAUUGCUUAACUCAUGUUAAGCCUUUAUAGGGAGCCCAAGGAUGGUGCUCAAACUCAACAAUGUUUUAUGGGGAAGAGAGGAAAAAUAAAAUGAGAGGAACUUGAAUUGUCAUUGUGGGCAUGUAUGUGUGUGAGAGGGAAACAGGGAACAGAAGUAGAUGUUAUGGAUGAAGUCACAGGUCACAGAUACUUCAGCCCAGUGUGCUGACAUUUUCAUUGGCUUUGGAAUAUGAAGUGUUGGAUGUGGAGUUACAUCACAAGGACAUAGGUCAAACUGCCAACCAUUACAGAAUAUAGGUAUUUGUUUGGUCUAUGGCUGUUUUUGUGUGAUCUGUUUUAUUUUUCUACAUUUACAAAUGAAAUGGGAGCAUAACUGUGUGUGGGAAACAGAUGUGGAUAAAAAUGGUAUGUGUGUGCAUAUGUGUAGUUGAUGGUGUAAAGAUGAGGCAUGUGGUGUGGACCCAGUGACUCCCACAGAGAGGACAAAAGAGAAGUGCCCUGGGGUAUGACCUAGCCAGCGUGACAGUAAGGGUAAAACAGUGAAGCAGAUAAGUGUAGAUUUAUAAUGGUGUAAAUGUUGCACCAUAAAGCACUUUCCUGCCUCAUACAGAUUUUACUUUGUAAGAGAAUUGUUAUCAUUCAGUUCUAACUCUAUGUUAUUUCAUUUAUAACCCAUGAGUUAUUUAUCAGGGUGUUAUUUAAAUUCUAAAAUAUGCAGAGAUUUUUGUUCUUUUUGCUAAUUACUUAAUUUGCUAAUUACUUAAUUAAUUAAUUGUGUUAAGGCUAGAGAACAUGACCCACAUAAUAUCAAUUUUUAAAUUUUUUUCAAGGAUUUCUUCAUGGGCCAGUACAUGAGAGUUUAGGGAUUUUUGGUAAAUAUUCUGUGAAAACAUGCAAAAAAAUGUAUAGUCUUUCCUUGCAGGACACAAAACUCUUAUUUGUCUGUGGAAAAGAUUUUCAAUGUGUUUCAAUUUUCUAGAUAUUUAUUAAUUUGUUUCCUUGAUCUGUCAAUUACUGGAAAUUUUUGUUGAAAACUACACCUAUCUAAUUUCCUAUCAUUCUAUCACUUUUUAGUUUUUAAAUUAUAGCCAUAAAUAUUAAAAACAAGACCUAUCUAGUUUUUCCUGUUAUUCUUUCAAUUUUAAUUUUUAAAAUAUAGUCAUAAAUGUUUAAAAUUGCUAUAUAUUAUUGAAGAAUUGAACCUUUAUCAUGUCAUGCUGGAAUAAUGAGAAAAAUUUUAAAAAGUAGUGAAAUUCAUCUUAAAAAUAUAUUGUAUUUUGCACAAUACAUAUAAAAUGUUAUUUCAACAUUUUUUAUAUAUCAUUCAUUGUACAUGUAGAAGACAUAGUAUGAAUAAAAGAAUGUAGAGUUCCCAUUAAUAAUCUUACUAUGCUGACUGCCUCCUGAAAUGAUAGUAUUUCGUACAUUGUGUUUCAAGUAUAUCAGGAAGAAUAAAAUUAUUUUGGAUGUAUCAGGUCAAAUAUAUACGUAAGAAUAAAUUUCACCUUUGUCUUCUUACUUUUUGAAUAUGGCUUCUAUAAAAUUUGCAGUGGCACCUGUGACUCACAUUUAUUUCAC
rnacentral:lncRNA from 1 species